AUAUAGUGUAAUAAUGCACAAUAGUUUUUCAUACUGUUAGAAUGAUAAUAGUCAUUAUA
rnacentral:tRNA from 1 species